rnacentral:lncRNA from 1 species
AGGGUGGGGCCAGGAAACAGCUGCUAUCCAGCCCCUCCAGGCUGACUUAAGCCAGAGUGUAUGGGGGCCAGUGAUGGAACAGAGGGAGCCUCCUGCCCAGGGCAAGCGUGUGGAGACCACCAGGGGCCCCAGGGCUAUUGCUCAGCCAAAGGGCCAGCAUCCCACUGAAGAAGAUCAGAAAGAGGCUUCUGAUUCUGUCUCCAGAGCCUUUGAGGUCACUCCUGACGCUGACAUGGCUGUGAAGAGCUGGGUGACAGGCAUUGCUGCCUCCAAGGUUGCUUUGAGAGGAAUAGGUGGGGGAUCAGGAAGAAGCCAGCUGCAGCCAUCCAUGGGAGGGAGCUGUGAGACGGCCUGGCAGGACUGGCUCUCACACCCCACAGAGUGAGAAGCUCACCCUGCGCAGGAACAUCCUGGGGCAGCAGGCUCAGCACAUUUUACAUUUUGAAUAUGAACAAAGUAAACUUCAGGGUAAAGAAAAAACACAAAAAUUUGCUGAGC